rnacentral:rRNA from 1 species
AAACCGAACAGCUAGCCCACCCCCCAAAGAACAACAAACAACAUUAAUCAACCCCUAAGAUACUAACAUAAAACAAUAAAACAUUCUUCCCCCCUAGUAUGGGCGACAGAAAAG